UACGUAGGGUGCAAGCGUUAAUCGGAAUUACUGGGCGUAAAGCGUGCGCAGGCGGCUUUGCAAGACAGAUGUGAAAUCCCCGGGCUUAACCUGGGAACUGCAUUUGUGACUGCAUGGCUGGAGUGCGGCAGAGGGGGAUGGAAUUCCGCGUGUAGCAGUGAAAUGCGUAGAGAUCGGGAAGAACAUCGGUGGCGAAGGCGGCCAGCUGGGCCAUUGCUGACGCUGAUGCGCGACAGCGUGGGGAGCAAACAGG
rnacentral:rRNA from 1 species